CGCGCUACACUGACGGAGCCAGCGAGUACUGGCGCAAGCCUUCCUUGGCCGAAAGGUCCGGGUAAUCUUGGGAAACUCCGUCGUGCUGGGGAUAGUCCUUUGCAAUUAUCGGACUUGAACGAGGAAUUCCUAGUAAGCGCGGUUCAUCAGAUCGCGUUGAUUACGUCCCUGCCCUUUGUACACACCGCCCGUCGCUACUACCGAUUGAAUGGCUUAGUGAGGCCCUCGGAUUGGCGUAUUACUGCCGGCAACGGCUGGUUAUAUGCCGAGAAGUUGGUCAAACUUGGUCAUUUAGAGGAAGUAAAAGUCGUAACAAGGUAUCCGUAGGUGAACCUGCGGAUGGAUCAUUAACGUUUAAU
rnacentral:rRNA from 1 species